CUGAUCACCACCUGCACUCAUGCAUAUAUCUUUCUACGUAGCACUUUUAAUUCUUCUUCUUACUUUUAUUUUUUCAUGUCUAUUUAAGCGCAAUUUAUGACAGUAUGUUUGCACUGAAGCACCGCAGCAAUUUCCUAAUGUUGUAAACCUGCUCAACAUUUGGCAAUAAAACCCUUUCUGAUUCUGAUUCUGAUAUUUUCUUGGCACAGUUUAGGCCCCUUUGUGUCAACUGCAGCAUCGUUUAACUACCACAGCCUACCUCAGUUUUAUUACUGACCAUGUCCAUCUCUUUAUGACCCUUGUUACGGCCCUAGCAGGGCCUCUUCUUGAAAUUUCCCUUGUGUGGGUGUGGUCUUCUCUCUCCGCCUCCUCCUCUUUUGUUCCUCCCACCCUUCUGUCUCUUUUUCACUCCGCCCUCUUGCCACGACGCACCUGCUGUUCAUUACCCCGUUUGGCACCUGGACCCAGUCAGCAAUCACCUCUUUAUUAUAUAGAUUAUAUAGGCUGGGGAAGAACUGUGUGAUGCAAGUGGUUUUUCCCUAUGGCUCUACAUUGUCUUUUUAGAUGUUGGAAAAGUCCCAAUGCGUGUUUGUCCUACCCGUGGUUUUAAGUUGAGUGAGUAGAUGGGCAUAUAUAGGCCUUGGAAAUGUCUCACCGUGGUGAGGAGUUCAGUUGAGUGAGAAGUGGGAAGUGCCUCUUUGUGUUGUGGAGUUUUUUUUUUUUUUUUUUAGUUGUUUCCUUUGUUGUUUUUGAUCUCUUCUUUUCUUUUUGGCCUUAUUGAUACAGCGACGUUGCUGACUCUUUGUGUUAAGAUUAUUUGCAAUAAAACCAUAUUAUAUGCUAAACACCUCUGUCUGCUUUCCUUUUCAUUCUGUUCUGGACCCAUUUGUUACCGGCCACCACACUCGCAACUCGAAGAAUUCCUUCGUGGGGACGUAACAUGCCAGCAGGAAAACAUGCCAUGUUCCCAAGUGCAGAUCAUCUCAAACUGGUUGCUGGAACAUGAUAAUGAGUUCACUGUACAGGAAUGCCGUCUACAGAUUCAACAGAUCUCAAUAUCUCAAUAGACCACUGGGAUGAGGUGGGUUUGUGACUCAGUGCCACAAAGAAUUAAGAAGGCCCAAUCCUGUACUAGCAAAGUGUACCUAAUAAAGUGCCCAGUGAGUGUAUGUGCAUGAAAAGACAGGGUUAUGCCAGUAGUUAACUUUCUCAUGCCUUAUCUGUCCUUUCUUUAAUAGAUAAAACACUCUGAAUCACAUGUCAAACUGUGGUUACUGAACGUUAUAUUACUGAAACACUGUUGCAGAUAUUAGGCUACAUACAAAAUAGCAAGGGGCACCUCCUCAAUGUGAGUCACUGCUGUACUAUAAGAGUAAUUUUCCACAGCAGGUCUGUGCUUUUCAGAAAACGCUUCAGUGCUC
ensembl:lncRNA